AUCCACCGUGGUCAGCUUGUACACAGGGGAGUCCACACAAGUCCAACUUGGAAUUAGAUUGAUAUGUAGUGCGCUUCGUUAACAAGGACGCCCCGGCCGCAAACAAAUCGCUCCAAAAUCGAUACUCUCGCCUCGCCGCGCCGCUCCCGUCUCGCGCCGCCGCUCUGUCGCCUUGCCCCGCAGUGCUCUCUCCUUGCCACGCUGCACUCAUCUGGAGCCGCCGCUCACCUACGCCGGGAACUCGCCGACAGCCACCGCCCGAAAGUCGCCGACUCCGCCGGCGGCCCGAUCUCCAGCCGCACUCCGCCGGAAGCUCUCCUCUAGCUGCCCGUCACCGCUCCAAGCCAUCCACCUCGACGAGUCCUCAGGUACACGAGCUAUUCGCCAACGACUGCUCGGAAUUUGUCAGGCCUCUCAUCUGCUACUGCUGCUCCGAUUCAACUUUCUGUUCUGAACUUUGUGGAUAGAUGGCUUCCAAUAGCGUGUUUGCUGAGUUGCUCAGGAACUACAAGUUAGAUGGCACAAACUUCACUGUUUGGAAAAGGAAGAUGAUGUUUCUGCUUACAGCUGAGAAUAUUGAGUAUGUGAUUUCGACCGCUGAGCCUAACAAACCUGCUGAUGACGCUUCAGAUGAGGAAAAGGAUAAUUAUGCAGAAGAACUCAAGGAGUGGAAUAAGGACAAUAAGAAGGCUAGGAUUUUUAUUCUUGGUUCCAUGUCUGAUUCGUUGGCAGGUGAAUAUGAAACAGAGGUUGCUGCAUACAGAAUUAUGAGAAGGCUGGAAGAGGAUUUUGGUGAAGUUUCUUUAAUCAAAGUGCUUAGUUUGCUGAACAGAUUCUUGACGUCUAAGAUGGCAGAUAAUACUUCUAUCAAUGAGCACUUAAACAAGUUGUGUGUGCUGAAUGAGGAAUUGAAAAAUGCUGGCUAUCCUUUUUCUGAGGAGGCGCAAGUAAUGGUGGCUCUGAACUCACUUCCGCACACUUGGGAACAAUUUAAAGUAUCAUUCUGUCACUCUGAAAGAUUACUGAACAUGCGCAAUUUGAGGCAUCAUUUGCUCAUGGAAGAAGAUAGGAAAACUUCACAAGGGAAAGAGAGACAGUCACAUCAUCAGGAGUUACACCUUGGUGAAGAUAGGAGGCGUUGGCAGAAGAAGCAUCAAGGAGGUGAUUUGAGGGACAAAAUCAACAGGAAGAGAAACUGGGAUGAUCAUAAUGGAACAGGUCCAAACUCUAGUUUUGAUAAGAGGAAAUUUAUAUGUCAUGGUUGUGGAGAGUAUGGGCAUUUUAGAACUGAGUGCAAGAAUAAGAAGCCUUAUAAACAAGAUGACAAGUCUAAGAAGCAGCACCAGGACAAGCAGGACAAGCAUCAGGUCCACAAGAAGGAUAAUUCUUCUCCUGAUGUUGCAGGGCUAUACUGAUGCUGAUUGGCAGGGUGAUCUGGAUGACCGGAAGUCUACGUCUGGGUAUCUAUUUACAUUAGCUGGUGGCGCUAUAUCUUGGAGUAGUAAGAAGCAAGAUUCAGUGGCAUUAUCUUCCAUGGAGGCGGAGUAUAUUGCUGCGUCGGAAGCUGUGAAGGAGGCGGUGUGGCUGAAGGAAUUUCUUUCGACUUUGAAGAUUGUUGAGAGUGCUAGCAAACCAGUGGUGUAUUGUGAUAAUCAUGCUGCAAUAAAGGUUUCCAGAUAUCCCAAGUUCCACAGCAAGAUCAAACAUAUUGAGGGAAGGUAUCACUAUAUACGUGAUGUAAUUAAUAGACUUAAGUCUGUUUCUUUAGAGUUUCUACCUAGUACUGAUAUGGUUGCUGAUCCCUUGACUAAGUCACUUAGUCAGGUGGUAUUUGGUAAACAUGUUCAAGCUAUGGGUUUACGAAUUUUUUGAAUGAUCGUUUUGGACAAGUGGGAGAUGUUAGGAUUAUGUGUCCUACAACUAUAUUCAAAUACUUAUUAUCAUUAAUAUUCGGAAUACCUCAUAUGGAAUUAUACAUGUGUUUUGU
rnacentral:rRNA from 1 species